rfam:Populus trichocarpa scaffold_5_contig_132, whole genome shotgun sequence.
UAAUUUGUUUAGGAUAUAUCAUCUUCUAAUAGUGGUAGAUCCACACCUAAUUAUUUAGAAUCACCUAUUAUCGCAAGCUCAAUGAAAUUAAAUUGCUAGAAGGUGUUGCAAUUCAUCUAGUGU